rnacentral:lncRNA from 1 species
GAUAAUUAAUUUCGAAUUUAGAUGUUGAAACAGAUUGUUUAUUAAAUUGUUUGUUAGGUUAAUUUGCAUAAUUGUCUGCCUUGUUUGAUCUCUGUAUCCGUCUGAUGUUCCUGUUAAAAUUUAUUUGUAAAUAUUAGGAAUUUGAGAGAGUUAAUUGAAAUAAGGAAAUUUAGGAGAAUCUUGCUUAACUAAUUGAGAUGUUUCUAGAAGAGGAAAAGGAUUGUUUAGUAAUUGAAGUAGGAAUAGGCUGUUAUUUGGGGACUUAAGAGUAAAUAACAGAAGAAGGAAGGGCUAAAAAAUAGAGAGGAAUCUCUAAAUGGACAGCUGUCCAAAAAUCUGUUAAAAACAGAUGCUUUCUUUCCUAUUUUUCAGCUGAUAGAUUCUCCUACACCCCCUCUCAUUUUCUCUCAUAUAGCACACUUUCGUACUCUAUAUAAUAGACCUUACAUUCCCUCAUUCACGCACACUGAUUUCUGCAUCUUUGUAAGAAUAUUAAAAAGGAAAAGAUAAUGAUGGAAAGAAGUUUUCUGCUUUUCCCCGUGCCUUUACAUUGUUAUUUACAUAGUAUAUAUAAGAAUAUAAAAAUAGCUACUUUAUUCAAUAAAUGUACUAUUCUUAUUUGUGGGUCAUGUGCUCACAUGCACUAAAGUGAAAAGUGGACAAUGGACAGCUGCUUUGUAUCAAAAGGAGAUAAAGAGUUUUGGUCAAUGUGACCAAGCUUUUAUGCAGACCAAAGCUCCAAUUUCUCUUUCCUUGUCUCUUCUUCUUCAUUUUCAACUUUCUCAGUCAUGGAGCCUGAUUUCAAACAACCAGCUCCAACACCCCCUCUCAAGUUGGAGAGGGGUGUAACCACACCCAACUUGCCAAUAAUGGAGUUGUGUGCCGGUCCUGCUAAGGGUUUAGUAAAAAUGUCAGCCACCUGAGAACGUGAAGGAAUGUAAGAAAGAGAGAUGAUUCCGGCCAAAAAUUGUUAUCGGACAAAGUGAUAAUCUAACUCCACAUGCUUGGUACGCUCGUGAAAAAUUGGGUUUUUCACGAUGUGAAUGGUGGCCUGACUGUCGGAGAAGAGAUCUAUUGGCAAUGGAGGGGAAAUCGAAAGAUCAGUCAAUAGACGAACUAACCAGGUAACCUCUGCUGUGACUCUCCACAUAGAUCUAUACUCUGCUUCAGCAGAGGAUAAUGACACUGAGGUUUGUUUCUUUGAUUUCCAGGAAAUGGGAGAACCCCCAAAGCUGAUGAAGAACCCGCUAAUGGACUUUCGAGAUUGAGGACAAGAUCCCCAAUCGGAAUCACAGAAACCAAGGAGCUGAUAAUUAGGCUUUGAAUUCAGAAAAAACCCUAAUCCUGGGUCCUUGAGGAGAUACCUGAGGCAAUGAAAUACAUCAUCUAAAUGGGGUUGACGGGGUGUUUGCAUGAAUUGGCUAAGAUGUUGCACCGCAAAGGAUAAGUCCGGCCUGGUGUGUGUUAGGAAAUUCAACUUUUCUAACAACCGACGAUAAUAAGUGGGAUCUUGGAGCAAAGUCCCUGCCUCUGCUCGCAAUUUCUGAGUAGGAUUCAAAGGAGAAGAAACUGGGCGCAUGCUCAUGCAAUCAAAUUCAGACAAGAGAUCUAAGGUAAAACGCC